rnacentral:sRNA from 1 species
GAAAAGAGAAUCUGAGCUGCUGCUGUUUACAGAAAGGCUCACUAGUAAGAAUGCACAGCUUCAGUCUGAAUCCAAUUCUUUGCAGUCACAAUUUGAUAAAGUUUCCUGUAGUGAAAGUCAGUUACAAAGCCAGUGUGAACAAAUGAAACAGACAAAUAUUAAUUUGGAAAGUAGGUUGUUGAAAGAGGAAGAACUGCGAAAAGAGGAAGUCCAAACUCUGCAAGCUGAACUCGCUUGUAGACAAACAGAAGUUAAAGCAUUGAGUACCCAGGUAGAAGAAUUAAAAGAUGAGUUAGUAACUCAGAGACGUAAACAUGCCUCUAGUAUCAAGGAUCUCACCAAACAACUUCAGCAAGGUAUAAAAUUCUUCCACACUUAGACCAUGAAUGUGUUUGUUUCUUUUAAUCAUUACGAUUUUAUUUUUUGUGAUUCUGCCACAUUGAUUGAAGCUGUAUGUUUUCUUUGUUAAUAUUAGUA